rnacentral:lncRNA from 1 species
AUUAUUUAUAUAUGUUUUAUUUCAGUAGCUCUAUACUACUGGUUGUAGUGUUGUAUGAUUACAGGUACAGGUACAGUUUCGCUUCGUAUAUAAGGAAAAUUUCUUUGUAUACAGCGGGUCUGUUAGCAUACCGGGAAAACGAGUAAUUUGGGACGUGAAACAAAUAAAACCAUAUGGUAUCUAUCUAUUACUAUAUAUAAAAGUAGAACCCUUAAUGAACCCUAUGUGAAAAGCUGACACAUGGCUUUCUAUAUGCUUGCCACGUGUCAAACUCAAAUAUGGAUAUUUGGUUACGAAUUAUUUGAAAUUAUUGGUUUAAUUAAUUAUUUAAAAUUAUUGGUUGCGAAAUACGCAAUAAUCUGUUGCGAAUUAUUUUUUCGUAGUGGAAAUAAUAUGUUGCAAACUCAAAUUUCGUAUUGGCAGAUAAUUAAUUAUUUAAAAUUAUUGAUUGCGAAAUAAGCAAUAAUCUAUUGCGAAUUAUUUGAAAUGGUUAGUUGCGAAAAAAAGGGUCAAACUCAAAUUUCGUAUUGGCAGAUAAUUAAUUAUUUAAAAUUAUUGGUUCCGAAAUCAAUAAUCUAACGGUCAAACUCAAAUUUCGUAUUGGCAGAUAGCAGUCAAACUCAAAUUUCGUAUUAGCAGAUAAUUAAUUAUUUAAAAUUAUUGGUUGCAAAAUAAGCAAUAAUCUGUUGCGAAUUAUUUGAAAUGGUUAGUUGCGAAAAAAUGGUCAAACUCAAAUUUCGUAUUGGCAAAUAAUUAAUUAUUUAAAAUUAUUAGUUGCGAAAUAUGCAAUAAUCUGUUGCGAAUUAUUUGAAAUGAUUGGUUACGAAAAAAUCGGUAUAGAUGACCAAAGUAAAAACGAAAUGAUUGGCGGUUGUUUUGAAAUUAUUCUUUGCGAAAGAAUUUAUAAGUAGUAUAGAUAUAAUUUUUACUUCGUAAUUUUUUUUUCUCNAUUGAUAGUAUAUUUUUUUAUUUGUUAAAAAAUAUAAAAUUAAUUAAAAAUUUUUUUUGUUAUCAUCACAUAAUAAUUUUUAUUAUUCUAUAUUAUUAUAUUAGCCGUGCAUCCCACGGAUGAAAAUCUAGUUAAAAUACAAAUACAUUAAAUAUAUAA